AAGAUUUUGUAAGGACGGAAAUUCAUUCUGAAGAAAACUGCAAAUGGAGGAGAAUCAAUAAAAAAACAAUGACACUUAAUUGUGGAUGGAAAUGUAAACGGAAAACCAUAACCAAAAAGAUUGUUACUGGAGCAUUGAGCGUCGACAUGACCCAACGGAAACAAUUCUACGUAGGCAGUGCUACUGUGGGAAGUACAGAACUCAUGUCGGUUCGAAGAUCGAUGGAAAUGAUUAAGAUUCGAUGAGGUCACAGAAGAGGACGGUAGCAUGUAUUCUAUCUAAAAGCUAUAAAGUCAAAACACAUUCCUGUAUAAGAGAACUAUGAAACUAAACUUUUUGUUGAGCAGCUUAGAAAAUAUACUUUACAACCGAUAACAUUAUUCAAAUUAGAUAAAAUAUAGUAGUUUUCUUGUAAAAUUAAAUCAAGUAGGUUUUCUGUUGAUAUUUGGUAUGCGGUUAAAAUAUAAAUUAUUAUAACAUUAAUAAUAAUAUUUUUUAUACAAUCUUAAAGUGUAAAGUUAGUAUAGGCCUAUUUAUUUUAGGCAUAAUCCAGAAUAAAAUCAUAUAAGUCAUAUAAGCCUAAGUCAGUGAAAUGAAAAAUACAAUAAAACAUUAUAAAAGUCUCAUUUGAAAUUAAGUUGUUCGUUUAGAUGAAACAUGAAAUUCAAACUUGAAUAUAGAAAUGAGUGUAUUCAACAAAUGUUUACCCGUAACUUUACUGCGAAAAUGAUAGAAACACUUCCAGUCAUUGGAAGAGUUUUUAUUAUUAAAUGGGUAAUUUUUUUUUAAAUCUAAUAAUUUAUAUGCUCAAGUUAAAAAUGUGUAUGUUAUGAUUGCAAAAUGUGCAAGGUAAUUAUUUUUUAAAAAUUAUUUUCUGUCAUUUUCAGGGGACAGUACGUCUUUAGGUCUGUUAAGAAAAUUCUCUUUACCAUAGCACUUCUAUAAUAUUUUUCUACACUAUUACAUUUCUACAAUACUUUACUUAUUUUGUAUUUAUAUUACGUUGUUAUUGUUGUUAAUAUGGAUGGAUGUCGUGCGACAUAACAUGAAUAAAUAUGUGGGCCUAUUGUUAUUGGUUCACAGUUCAUUAAAAGUGUUUUCCCCCUUUAGCAGUUCAUUCCGCACGAUGUAAGACCUAUGUAGGUGUCAAACCCUACCGGUUUAGCUACAGCAUUAUUAAUAUAUGUGAUAUUUGCGGUACACCACGUAAAUAGUUUUAAAAAGAUUAUUAGCAUAGAAUUAUAAUUGACCUAUACUGUUAUAAAGAUGAAGUCCAACUGAUAUAAAAGAACAAAUAAAGUUAUUUGGUCAAAUGACUUGCAUGAUAUAA